rnacentral:rRNA from 1 species
ACGAACGCUGGCGGCGUGCUUAACACAUGCAAGUCGAACGGAAAGGCCCUGCUUUUGUGGGGUGCUCGAGUGGCGAACGGGUGAGUAACACGUGAGUAACCUGCCCUUGACUUUGGGAUAACUUCAGGAAACUGGGGCUAAUACCGGAUAGGAGCUCCUGCUGCAUGGUGGGGGUUGGAAAGUUUCGGCGGUUGGGGAUGGACUCGCGGCUUAUCAGCUUGUUGGUGGGGUAGUGGCUUACCAAGGCUUUGACGGGUAGCCGGCCUGAGAGGGUGACCGGCCACAUUGGGACUGAGAUACGGCCCAGACUCCUACGGGAGGCAGCAGUGGGGAAUAUUGCACAAUGGGCGGAAGCCUGAUGCAGCAACGCCGCGUGCGGGAUGACGGCCUUCGGGUUGUAAACCGCUUUCGCCUGUGACGAAGCGUGAGUGACGGUAAUGGGUAAAGAAGCACCGGCGAACUACG